rnacentral:rRNA from 3 species
AAAUUGAAGAGUUUGAUCAUGGCUCAGAUUGAACGCUGGCGGCAGGCCUAACACAUGCAAGUCGAACGGUAACAGGAAGCAGCUUGCUGCUUUGCUGACGAGUGGCGGACGGGUGAGUAAUGUCUGGGAAACUGCCUGAUGGAGGGGGAUAACUACUGGAAACGGUGGCUAAUACCGCAUAACGUCGCAAGACCAAAGAGGGGGACCUUCGGGCCUCUUGCCAUCAGAUGUGCCCAGAUGGGAUUAGCUUGUUGGUGAGGUAACGGCUAACCAAGGCGACGAUCCCUAGCUGGUCUGAGAGGAUGACCAGCCACACUGGAACUGAGACACGGUCCAGACUCCUACGGGAGGCAGCAGUGGGGAAUAUUGCACAAUGGGCGCAAGCCUGAUGCAGCCAUGCCGCGUGUAUGAAGAAGGCCUUCGGGUUGUAAAGUACUUUCAGCGGGGAGGAAGGUGUUG